UUUAUUGGAGAGUUUGAUCCUGGCUCAGGAUGAACGCUGGCGGCGUGCCUAAUACAUGCAAGUCGAGCGAAUGGAUUAAGAGCUUGCUCUUAUGAAGUUAGCGGCGGACGGGUGAGUAACACGUGGGUAACCUGCCCAUAAGACUGGGAUAACUCCGGGAAACCGGGGCUAAUACCGGAUAACAUUUUGAACCGCAUGGUUCGAAAUUGAAAGGCGGCUUCGGCUGUCACUUAUGGAUGGACCCGCGUCGCAUUAGCUAGUUGGUGAGGUAACGGCUCACCAAGGCAACGAUGCGUAGCCGACCUGAGAGGGUGAUCGGCCACACUGGGACUGAGACACGGCCCAGACUCCUACGGGAGGCAGCAGUAGGGAAUCUUCCGCAAUGGACGAAAGUCUGACGGAGCAACGCCG
rnacentral:rRNA from 1 species